rfam:Oryza sativa Japonica Group DNA, chromosome 6, cultivar: Nipponbare, complete sequence.
AAUAAGCACAGUCAUAAGUUUCCGCGCACAAUUUUAGUCGUUCGUCUUAUUUUUUUUUAUAAUUAGCAUUUUUAUUGCUAUAAGAUGAUAAAACAUAAAUAGUACUUUACUCGUGACUUAUGUUUUUAAUUUUUUAAAAAAAAAUUCAAAUAAGACGAACGGUUAAAGUUUGACGCGGAAAAUCAUGGUUGCACUUAUU